rnacentral:rRNA from 1 species
CCUACGGGAGACAGCAGUGGGGAAUAUUGGGCAAUGGGCGCAAGCCUGAACCAGCAACGCCGCGUGAAGGAAGAAGGCUUUCGGGUUGUAAACUUCUUUUCUGAGGGACGAAGAAAGUGACGGUACCUCAGGAAUAAGCCACGGCUAACUACGUGCCAGCAGCCGCGGUAAUACGUAGGUGGCAAGCGUUAUCCGGAUUUAUUGGGUGUAAAGGGCGUGUAGGCGGGAAAGCAAGUCAGAUGUGAAAACUCAGGGCUCAACCCUGAGCCUGCAUUUGAAACUGUUUUUCUUGAGUGCUGGGGAGGCAAUCGGAAUUCCGUGUGUAGCGGUGAAAUGCGUAGAUAUACGGAGGAACACCAGUGGCGAAGGCAGAUUGCUAGACAGUAACUGACGCUGAGGCGCGAAAGCGUGGGGAGCAAACAGGAUUAGAUACCCCUGUAGUC